AUACCCUGGUAGUCCACGCCGUAAACGAUGAGUGCUAAGUGUUGGGGGGUUUCCGCCCCUCAGUGCUGCAGCUAACGCAUUAAGCACUCCGCCUGGGGAGUACGGUCGCAAGACUGAAACUCAAAGGAAUUGACGGGGGCCCGCACAAGCGGUGGAGCAUGUGGUUUAAUUCGAAGCAACGCGAAGAACCUUACCAGGUCUUGACAUCCCAUUGACCACUGUAGAGAUACAGUUUUCCCUUCGGGGACAACGGUGACAGGUGGUGCAUGGUUGUCGUCAGCUCGUGUCGUGAGAUGUUGGGUUAAGUCCCGCAACGAGCGCAACCCUUGUUCUUAGUUGCCAUCAUUUAGUUGGGCACUCUAAGGAGACUGCCGGUGAUAAACCGGAGGAAGGUGGGGAUGACGUCAAAUCAUCAUGCCCCUUAUGACCUGGGCUACACACGUGCUACAAUGGACGAUACAAACGGUUGCCAACCCGCGAGGGGGAGCUAAUCCGAUAAAAUCGUUCUCAGUUCGGAUUGUAGGCUGCAACUCGCCUACAUGAAGCCGGAAUCGCUAGUAAUCGUGGAUCAGCAUGCCACGGUGAAUACGUUCCCGGGCCUUGUACACACCGCCCGUCACACCACGAGAGUUUGUAACACCCGAAGUCGGUGAGGUAACCUUUAUGGAGCCAGCCGCCGAAGGUGGGAUAGAUGAUUGGGGUGAAGUCGUAACAAGGUAACCGUAUCGGA
rnacentral:rRNA from 1 species